UGUGCCUAAUGAGAGCCAUCGCGUGGCCAAGGAUCACCACGCAGACGGAAACAGUUUUGUCCCGGGCUUCUGUAAGCGGGCAGGGGGAGGGUUAAGCCUACCCGAAGGCGUGUUUUGUUGAGUGGCUUCGAAAGCGGCCGAGGCAGCCGAAGCAGCUUUCGAAGUUAGCAAACAAAGCGUCUCCCCAGUAACCGCCCGGUUGCAGACCAGGCUCCUGCCCCUCAGACCGCGGAGUCGCAGCGUCGGCCGGCCCCCGGCUCCUCCUCCCUGCGUCUCUCCUCCCUCCGCUCCAGUUCCCCAACGGAAAAGAGCCACCAAUCCCAGCAACAAACAACCCUUCAAAUGCUGGGACGCCGCGGCCCUCUAACGGGCGGCCUCGCCUGCUCCCCGCCCCACAUCUGUCCCGCACUCGGUCGCAGCAGCUGAUUCAUCUCCAGCCAGGCCCGGGGAAGGAACUGCGCUCCAGCAAGUUGCAGAGUAGCUUCCAGGCUGGUGGUUUCCCCUAGGACCAUGCUUCCCCCCUCUGCCGUUUUAGGUGAUGGGGAAAGUCUCAGAGGCAAGCGACAGUUCGUUUACUUCAAAACAACGGGACACACGCGAAAACUAGACCCAGCGGAGAGGGCGGGGAGGGGGCAGGCGUUUCUUGAGAUCAGCCAAACAGCAUCUGGUCUUUUUAAAAGGGUUAUCUCAUCAAGGAACUCCAGUUGGAGUCCUAACUCUCAACCAAAAUAAACGAACAGGAACAUUUGUUUGCUCAA